UCCUGUUUCUGGAUGUAUACUUAAUUACGUAUAAUGUUUCUUUCAGGACAUUUAGCCCAUUGAUCUGUACAUUUUAGACCUGUGGCUUUCACUGGUGAUACUUAGAUAAGAUGCUGCCUGAUUUCUUGACUCUAUUGUGAUAGAUGAUGGCCCAAGGACCUCAAAAUUGCUGGAUGGCUCAUCUGGAUUCAUAAUCACAUAUGAAGACAGGGAUGGCGACUGGAUGUUAGUUGGUGAUGUUCCGUGGGGAAUGUUCCUUAGCACUGUCAAGAGGCUUAGAAUCAUGAAGACCUCUGAUGCUAGUGGGCUUGGCAAAUGGGUCUGCCAGAGUCAUGUUCACCCAUCUUGUUCUCCCGGAGUCUUUCGUAUGAUACCUCACUCUGAAGGGUUACUUUAACUUAGCCUCAUUUUCAAAUGUGAAUCAAGCAUUGUUUCUCUCGUAUUCAUCCUUAAAAUGUGAAUCAAGCAUUAGAGAGAUAGUAUGGAUAUUUGUGUUUAAGAUCUUGGGUGCUGUGAUUCAUGAGAAACUUAAGCGCCUGGGAAAGUAUAUUGACGCAUCACACUUUUGCGGAUUGACGUGUAGCAUUGUCUUUAUGCAAUGUUUCAUGAUCGAUUAGAUGAUUAACACUUGUAACUUUAUGCAAUUUUAAGCUGGUCUUCUGCCACUGUCAUCCAAUGGUAGAUGGAACACUAUAAUUUAUAUUUAUCUUAUUUUUUGACUUGUA